rnacentral:rRNA from 1 species
CUCAUUAUAUCAGUUAUAGUUUAUUUGAUGGUCCUUGCUACUUGGAUAACCGUAGUAAUUCUAGAGCUAAUACAUGCACUAAACCCCGACUUCUGGAAGGGGUGUAUUUAUUAGUUGGAAACCAAAGCGGGGCAACCCGGAAUCUGGUGAUUCAUAAUAACUGUCGGAUCGAUUUUCGGAUCGAUGCAUCAUUCAAGUUUCUGCCCUAUCAGCUUUGGAUGGUAGGGUAUUGGCCUACCAUGGCUUUAACGGGUAACGGAGAAUUAGGGUUCGAUUCCGGAGAGG